AGCUUUGCGCAGUGGCAGUAUCGUAGCCAAUGAGGUUUAUCCGAGGCACGAUUAUUGCUAAUUGAAAGAUAGCAUAUUUCACUUCGUUUUUUUAAGGUUUUUGCCUUAGGGCAUGUGUGCUCCUGGGCAGAAAGAGAUGGUGAAACGGAAAGUGAGAAAUCAC
rnacentral:snRNA from 1 species